CCUCCUAUUUAAACCUGCUUCGGUGCUCUUCAUUGCGUGCUGUUGUAGGCCGGUACAAUUACUUUGAACAAAUUAGAGUGCUUAAAGCAGGCUCCAAAUGCCUGAAUAUUUUGUGCAUGGAAUAAUGAAAUAAGACCUCUGUUCUACUUUCAUUGGUUUUUAGAUCAAGAGGUAAUGAUUAAUAGAAGCAGUUUGGGGGCAUUAGUAUUACGACGCGAGAGGUGAAAUUCUUGGACCGUCGUAAGACUAACUUAAGCGAAAGCAUUUGCCAAAGAUGUUUUCAUUAAUCAAGAACGAAAGUUAGAGGUUCGAAGGCGAUCAGAUACCGCCCUAGUUCUAACCAUAAACGAUGCCAGCUAGCAAUUGGGUGUAGCUACUAUUAUGGCUCUCUCAGUCGCUUCCCGGGAAACCAAAGCUUUUGGGCUCCGGGGGAAGUAUGGUUGCAAAGCUGAAACUUAAAGGAAUUGACGGAAGGGCACCACCAGGAGUGGAGCCUGCGGCUUAAUUUGACUCAACACGGGAAAACUUACCAGGUCCGAACAUAAGCGUGUAAGACAGAUUGAUAGCUCUUUCUCGAAUCUAUGGGUGGUGGUGCAUGGCCGUU
rnacentral:rRNA from 1 species